rnacentral:rRNA from 1 species
GGGUGCGAUCAUACCAACACUAAUGCAUCGGAUCCCAUCAGAACUCCGCAGUUUAAGCGUGCUUGGACGAUGUUUAGUAGUUUUAUACAUACCAGCUCUGUGGGUAAAUUUUUGGCAUGUAUCCUUGAUAGCUUCCA